UUUUUCCAAUUGGAGGUAUUGUUGAAAAAUGUACAUGAUGAAAGUUGCUAAUGAUGAGAGUAUGAGGACGUAAAUAAAAAUAUUAAAGAAACAGGU